rnacentral:tRNA from 1 species
GGGUGUACAGCUCAGUGGUAGAGCAUGUGCUUAGCAUGCAUGAGGUCCUGGGUUCAAUCCCCAGUACUGCCA